CACCAUUCGCUUACGCCGGCUAGGGAAUAGCUAGGCUUUGGUAAGGACGAAGGUCGUGGCAAGCAGCGAUAUGCCCGGGCGAGGCGCAUGCAGCCCUAGAACCCGGGAUUACUGAAUGCGACUUCGUGUCUUUUUCGGAAGGCAUUCCUUUUUAGGAAGCACAACCCGCUGAAUUGAAGCAUCUUAGUAGGCGGAGGAAAAGAAAGAAAUUCGAUGCCGUUAGUAAAGGCGAUCGAAAGCGGCUCAGAGCAAACCGAAUUCCUUGCGGAAACGCAAGGUAUAUGUGGCGCCUGGUACGGCCCAGCCAGCCCACUUGAAGUCUCCUGAAAUGGAGCACCGGAGAGGGUUAAAGUCCCGUAGAAGGAAGCAGGAAGGUCGAUUCCAAGCAAGAGAGUACUGUCCCUCGGAUAUGGGGCAGGAAUAUGGGAGGUAUCAAUUCCCAACUCUAAAUAUUACCAAAGACCGAUAGCGAACUAGUAUGGUGACAGAAAGUUGAAAAGAACCCGUGACAGGGAUUGAAAAGAGCUUGAAUCUAGUCGGCUAUAGUCAGGUACGGCCCGAAAGGAAUGAAGCCUCUUGAAGGAAUAUGCGGUGACGCAUUAGUACGAGAGAGGUGAACUAGGGUCGUGCUGUUCGUUUCGAAGAACGAGACAGGGAGUUUAUUUUCAUGGCGAGGUUAAAGCAGUAAUGCUGGAGCCACAGCGAAAGCGACAAGCCCGCAAACUGGAACUAGACGCAUACUCUGUAUGCGUCGGUCCUCUCGAGGGGCGCCGUACGAAAGUGCGGGAAGUCAUGGGGAUAAGACCCGAAGCGCGACGAUCUAUUCCUGGGUAGGGUGAAGUCGGGGGAAACCCCGAUGGAGGCCCGUUACCGGAGCUACUCCAACGUGUCCGGGUGACCCGGGUAUAGGGGUGAAAUUCAAGAACGGUAUUCUUGAUUUGCUGUUCUUAGAACACCAAAAGCCAAUCGAGUUGCGUGAUAUCCUUUGGGUGGCUAGAGUAGACACUAAUCUUUAUAAUUCAUAAAAUUCUCUUCCAUUUUUAGACCAAUUAGAAAAAGAGAACAGCUCAAUAAUUUAAUGUCUGCUCUUACGCCCUAGGGACACGAUAGCUGGUUCCUUCCGAAAUGAAUCUCAGUUCAGCCUGACCGGAGGCAGAUGGCAGGGUAAAGCACUGAUUGGGAAGUCAAGGGGAGAAAUCCUCAGCUUCGCUGUCAAACUCAUAAUCUGUCAUCGCUGCAGAUGGUCGGAGUGCGGGUGCACGGAUUAAGUUCUGUACCCGAAAGGGGAACAACCCAGACUGGGGUUAAGGUCCCCAAAUGUUGGCUAAGUCACAAAGGUUGUCUUCAACCAUAAACAGCGGGGAGGUUGGCUUAGAAGCAGCCACCCUUCAAAGAAAGCGUAAUAGCUCACCCGUCUAGGUUGUGGGCGCCGAAGAUGGACGGGAGUAAGUCAACUACCGAUACCCCAGAUCGAGAGAUAGUAGGAAGGCGUUCCGUGGGGGCAGAAGCAGGGUCGUGAGGUCCUGUGGACCGCAUGGAAACGAAUAUCCUGUUAUUAGUAGCAGCAAAGUCGGGUGAGACGCCCGACCACCGGAAGAGCAAGGGUUCCCCGGCCAUGAUUAUCAGCCGGGGGUAAGUCGGUCCUAAACCAAGCGUUAACCUAGCUUGGUGAAAGGGAAGCAGGUUAAUAUUCCUGUGCCACCUUGGGUCACUAUCAGUAUCUGACGGUUCGGGAUAGGCUUUGUGAGGUCGUCGCCUCACCGAGCUGGGCAAGCCUCUGGAAAUUCGUAAAGAACAGAAGGAGGUGAACCCGGCAAGGCUUCCCUUAUGGGGAGUUUGGCUGAUUCCUGGACCCCCUGAAAAGGAUUCUGAACUAUCCCUUGGUGUCCGUACCCAAAACCGACACAGGUGCUCUCGCUGAGAAGGCGAAGGUGUUGAAACAACCCAGGUUAGGGAAUUCGGCAAGUUAGUCCCGUAUCUUUGGUAGGAGGGAUGCCUGCGCUCUCUUUAAUGGGAAGCGCAGGUCGCAGUGACAAAGGGGGCCCGACUGUUUAACAAAAACGUAACCGGCUGCUAGAGAGAAAUCUUGUGUAUAGCCGGCGAGGUCUGCCCAGUGCCGGUAUGUUAAACCCUGUUUCAACGGGGCUAAGCACCGGUAAACGGCGGCGAUAACUCUGAUCGUCUUAAGGUAGCGUAAUCCCUUGUCGAUUGAAUGUCGACCUGCAUGAAGGGCUUAACGAGGUCCCCGCUGUCCCAACCUGGAGUUCAGCGAACUUGCUGUUCAGGGGAAUGGGCCUGAGACUCCUAGUGGGAAGUAGAGUCCCCGUAGAUGGAAGAAGGAUAAGACAAAACUCAUUGUUCAGCGGACAUAUUCUCCCUUUCGCCUUGCGAGACGAAAGUUAGAUAAGUCCGCUUCACGAACAAUGAACCAUGAAAAUUAAAAAUUUUCAAAUUAAAAAUUUGAAAGAGAAAGAACUUUUGGCAUACGAGACGGGACUCCAUUUAGGAGACGGAUCCUUACAAUUAGACAGAAAAAACAAGGUAUAUAGAACAAUAUAUUCCGGCCAUUCAAUUGACGACAGAAAUUUCUACGAAUUUUUGGUCCCUGGAAUACUAAGGAAAAUAUACAAAAAAGAACCAUGUGUUUACUUUAGAAGAAAUGAAAACACCAUAGUAGUUCAUUUGAAUUCCAAAAGUGCUGUAGAAAAGAAAAUAAAAAUAGGUUUGCCUGUUGGAAAUAAGUUAAAGCUAAAGGAAAUUCCAAGCUGGAUAAAAGGUGACUUGGUAAAUCAUUUCUUGAGAGGUCUUGCAGAUGCAGACUUCACAGUCACCUUCAAGAAAAACAGAAAAGGAAUUCACAACGAGCCGAGAAUUGAGUUCUUUACCAAUAACAAGGUAAUCCAUAAAUUCGCUUUGCAAAAGUUAAUUCAACUUGGUUUCAAAGUUUCAAGCGAGGAAACAUAUCAGAGAGUUUUUAGAGACUACAGGAUAAGAAUUUACGGUAAGGAGAUGUUAAAUAAAUGGAUAGAUGAAAUUGGUUUUUUAAACGAAAAGCAUUUGCCUAAAAUCAUACUUUUUAAAAAUCAUGGCAAUUGUCCACCUCAUCUCAGUACAAACGAAAGAAUGAGGCUUGCUCUUUCUUCCAACGGUUAGCUUUACUGUAGCUUGAUGCUGUGAUAGGGUUUCGGUUGUAUAGCGUAAGUAGGAGACGCUAAAGCCUGGACGCCAGUCCAGGUGUAGUCAACAAAGAUUUGACGUGCAUCUUCAAUGCGCGUCGGUCGUUGAAUGUAACACUACUCUUUCGAAAACCUAUUGCUUACAGGGAGACCUGGACAACAUCAGGUGGACAGUUUGACUGGGGCAUGUGCGAGAGGCGUUAAUGAAGUGCAUCUUUCAUCUUCUGAUUUUUGGAAAAUCCAAAAGAGGGAGAUGUCGUCUCAGAAACAAGACUCUCUUCAAGAAAUCCAACCAAGUGAAGAAAUCUCUUUAGAUUUUCUCUGUCAGUAAUAAGCAGUUUGUUACCAGAAGUCCUGCAUUUUAUCCCCAAGACAUCUAAACAUUUCACUAAAUCUGAAAUGAGUUUUGGGUGAUAACACCGAACCUCAAGACGGUUUAUCGAAUAUUUCGGAUUCGAGUAAAAUGAACCGUCACAGGAUACAUAAGAACGUAGGAACUCUGCAGAAAAUAUUUUAGAGUUUUUUAUUUCAUCUGGAACUUUGCAAGUAGGAUAAUUUCCAUUUUCAUACCUUAAAGUUCUGUAAGUUGGAGAGAAAGUGAAAAGAAAUUCAGCAAUUCUCUUGGAAAAGAAUCUUAUGGAAAUGGCAUUUUUGCAGCGAUUUUCAUGAAAAUUCUCAAUUCCAAAUAAAUCAGUGGAAAGCGAUUUGAAAUAAUCUCUCAUUGAAGGGAUUUUGUUUGUAAACUGGACACAAAAAGUCUGCUUACUCUUGUCGUAGUAAACAGAACCAUCAGACAAAAGUAAACCAAUGAAUGAACUAAGUUUUUUGUUCAUUGAAAAACUUUUGUUUUUCAUGUUUACUUUUUUGCGAAGCGGACUUAUCUAACUUUCGUCCCGCAAGGCGAAAGGGAGAAUAUGUCCGCUGAUGCACCGAAGGCUUCCGUGCACCCAAAGGUACGCCGUUGAAAUGGUAUCAACGGUGCCCAAAGAUCAGCUCCGGAGGGUCAGAAAUCCUCCUUAGAGUGUAAGGGCAAAAGCUGGUUUGACUGAAUCCUGAACAUCGAGGGAUUCAGAGGCGAAAGCCGGGCCUAACGAAAUCCUGAAGCUCAUUGAUAACUUGGCGCACUAAAGCGCCGGUCGAUUAAGGGCUCAGGGAUGUCAGAAAAGCUACCUCAGGGAUAACCGGAUCGUAGCGGCCGAAAGCCCCUAUUGACGCCGCGUGUUGUUAUCGGUGUGAGUCGCUCUUCCCGCAUAUCUUUUUCAGCAUCCAUAUUCUUCCUUUCGUUCAAUGAAAUUGGUUUAAGAACGAAAGUUAGAUAAGGAUGCUUCAAGUAAAUUAAAUCAGUGAUUUAAUGAAACUCAAUCCAUACGAAAUUGGCAAAUGGACAGGAGAUAGAGUAGGAUUUCCUAGAGUAGGGAUAGUAAAUAAAUCCUUAAAUUUGGUUCAAGAUACAUUUUAUUUUCUCAGGGAUAUCGUUGAUGAAAGUAGAAUUAGUUUUGAAAUACAAGUAAAGAAAAAAUUAGAUACAGCAAAAAUAAAAGAAAAUUUACCCUCAGAAGUUCUAAGCAAAAUGAAAAUAGCAGAAGUAAAUUCAAUGUACGGAAAAUAUGCUUUUAGGGUCUACACACAAAGUCGGACUAUUUUCAGAGAAUUUCAAAAAUACAGCGAUAACAUAUUAAGAAAGAAUAAGACAGAAAUUGCAAAAUUUCUUGCAGGAUUUUCAGAUGCAGAAGGAACUAUAGACAAGAGAAAUCUUGUAAUAAAAUUAAGUUUCGGAUGCGAGAAAAAGGAAGAAAUACAAAGGAUAAAGAAAGCCUUUGAGAUUUUAAGUUUCGAACCUUUAAUAAUAAAGGCAGGAAAGAGAGAAAAUAAAAUAGUAAUUAAAAAUAUCAAAAAAUUUGAUUUAAAAAUAGGAAAAUUUAUGAGACACGAAGACAAAGUUAAGAGACUUAACGAUAUCAAAGAAAAUAAGUUUUUCUUGGAAAAAGACAAAGAAAUUUUGGAUUACAUAAGAAAAAAUCCUUUUUGUACAUCAAGAGAAAUUUCUCAGGUUUUCAAUUUUCAUGUUGAUUCCAUUAGAAGAAUUUUAAGACUUUUGAGAAAACAGGACCUUUUAGAAAUUAAAGGAAACGGAGUAUUUGGUAAUCCUUUUAGAUAUGCGGUGAAGUAGGCUCUACCGACAAUAUACAUCGUUGUCGGCUCGCCUUCUCCUGGCUGUGCAGCAAAACCUUUUUGCACAAGGUAAACGUGCAAAAACGUUUACGAAAAAUCAGCUUCCGCGUAAAAGCGGGAGGGGGUUCUGCAUGCAGCCAAGGGUAGAGGUGUUCACUCAUCAAAAAGGCACGUUAGCUGGGUUCAGAACGUCGUGAGACAGUUUGGUCAAUAUCUACUAGGAGUGUUGGUUGUCUGAGGGUAAAGGAGGAUCAGUACGAAAGGAACAUCCGCCUGGGGCCUCUGGUGUAUCGGUUGUCUGACAAACAAUGCCAGAUAAACAAAAGUACUGUUUGUAUUUUUUGUCUGGCAUUGGUCAAAGGCACUGCCGAGUAGCUACGCCCUACGCCGAUAAGGGCUGAAGGCAUCUAAGCUCGAAGCGGCCCCCAAAAAGAGACAGCCUAGGUUCCCGUAGACGACGGGUUUGAUAGGCUGGGGAUGUAAGCUGGAAGCUUCGGCGACCAGUUCAGUCUACCAGUACUAAUCACCAUUUUCGGAGUUCC
rnacentral:rRNA from 1 species